AGUGAAUUGUGGGAUAUGUCAGGGGUAACAAUUACACCUCACUGUUCAGCGUUGUCGUUUUGCAGCCAGGUUGCUGAGGUAUUUGCCGAGAAUUUGAAACUUUAUGAGGAAGGCAAACAGAUGGACUUCGUUGUGGACGUUAAGAGAGGAUAUUAACCGCUCAAGCCAUGAUACGAAUGUAUAGUACUGACGAGCAGUUCUGAAGGGGUAAAAGAUAUUAAAGCUAGRAUUUUGUCUGUUYAUUUUUAAGCUGGGAAAUGARAAUCRUUCAAARGGAACUUACUKGAAUUGAUCGUUUUCACCCAUUCACAUGAGAUUCAAAAGAUAAAAGACCGGCGGCCAUGUUGGAGGAAUGAACAAUAGAUACUAAUGAGAAAUCCUUUGUUAAAGUUCCUCCAAGAUGGCCGCUGUGGCGUUACCUGCAAACGAAGAACAGGAUUCAGGUCGGAAUUGCUUGCUUUUUUGUCCGGAGAAAAAACUUUCUUUUGUCAAACUGGUUAGUAGGAGGUAUAGUGGUAAGAAUAGGAGUUAUAGGUAGUGUUAUAAACGUUGUAUUUCCUAAUAAAAAAAGGGAACAUGA